rnacentral:tRNA from 2 species
GGGCGCUUAGCUCAGCUGGGAGAGCACCUGCCUUACAAGCAGGGGGUCAUAGGUUCAAGCCCUAUAGUGCCCACCA